CACCUAGUCACAUUUGUCUGGUAAGCCUAAAGUCUUUCACUCUUUGGUUAACAUCCCAUCAUAUUUAUCAUUCGAUGUAUAAGGGGAAACACAUCACUCAAAUAUCGGUGUCAGAGAGAGAUAUAUAGAGACAUUGACAGAGAAAUAGAGAAUAUAAAAAACACAAACAUCGAUCACCACCGGAGAAUAUCAGGGGCUCAACUACUUUGUGUGGGUUCUCAACCCAUGUCGUUUUCCGGCACAACAAAGAGAGCAGUGGUGGUUUUUAUGAUCAUCUUCUUUGUACUUCAAGCUACUGCAAUAAGAACAUCACCACCGUCUGCAAAAGCCUCAGACAAUAUAAAAAGACUAGAGCUUUACAAAAGAUUCUUUAAUGGCAGAUUUGCUCAUCUUAACUCCACCACUGUCUUCGACAAAAGCUUUCAAGAAAUCAAAAGAACAGUUCCCAGUUGCCCAGAUCCUUUACACAACUAAAAAGUUUGCAUCUUUUUGUUAAUAUACUGGAGCUCAAGUUCAAGCUUAUUUAAGUUCUGCACGCUAGAUCCGAGUUUUCAACAAACCGAUCUCGAGUAGCUCAUGAUCGGCCUAACUGGUUUACACCCUUCUCUUUCUCUUAAUCUUUAUAUUUAUAUGUAUGUAGUGAAUUAUCCAAAAUACCAACGUUUCUCCCACUAUUAUGACGUCAUAAUAUGGAUGAAUUUGGUUAUAUUAGGGCCUAAACCGUGGGUAUUUUGGUAUAUUAUCUUAGCAAAAAUGGUUUAUAUUUUGGUGAUAUAGAUCAAGAACAAUGACCUAUCAUGAUGUAUAUAUUAUUUGAGAUUUGAAAUUCAUAUAGUACAACAAUCUUUACACAUAUGCUUUGUUUUAAUCUCGAUUUAUAAUUAUAAAUGUGUUAUAUUUUGGA